AGAGAGCAUAAUACUCAACAUUAUGAGACUAGACAGAUCUAGAAAUGGUGGAGGGGUGUGUGUAUUCAUCAGGGAGGACAUUGCGUUUUCGCCAAGACAAGAUUUCACGACGACAGACUUGAGGCUAUCUGGAUAGACAUCUUAUACCAAAGACAAAGACGAUUACUAUUGUUACCGUUUACAGACCACCAAAAGAGGCGUCCUUUCUUAUUAACUUUGAAGAAAUAUUAAAUAGAUUUAAUCAAUUAAAUAAAUUGUAC
rnacentral:lncRNA from 1 species